rnacentral:rRNA from 1 species
UACGAAGGGGGCUAGCGUUGCUUGGAAUCACUGGGCGUAAAGGGUGCGUAGGCGGGUCUUUAAGUCAGAGGUGAAAUCCUGGAGCUCAACUCCAGAACUGCCUUUGAUACUGAAGAUCUUGAGUUCGGGAGAGGUGAGUGGAAUUCCGAGUGUAGAGGUGAAAUUCGUAGAUAUUCGGAAGAACACCAGUGGCGAAGGCGGCUCACUGGACUGGUAUUGACGCUGAGGUGCGAAAGUGUGGGGAGCGAACAGG